rnacentral:rRNA from 1 species
CUGCUGCCUUCCGUAGGAGUUUGGACCGUGUCUCAGUUCCAAUGUGGGGGACCUUCCUCUCAGAACCCCUACGCAUCGUCGGCUUGGUGGGCCGUUGCCCCACCAACUACCUAAUGCGCCGCAUGCCCAUCCGUGACCGGGGUCGCCCCCUUUGGCCGGCAGGGGAUGUCCCCUCCCGGCAUUAUGUUGUAUUAGGCGGGAUUUCUCCCGGUUAUCCAUCAGUCACGGCCAGGUUGCAUACGUGUUACUCACCCGUGCGCCGGUCGCCGGCGG